UACAGAGGUCUCAAGCGUUGUUCGGAUUCAUUGGGCGUAAAGGGUGCGUAGGCGGCGCGGUAAAUCGGGUGUGAAAUCUUGGAGCUUAACUCCGAAACUGCAUUCGAUACUGCCGUGCUUGAGGACUGGAGAGGAGACUGGAAUUUACGGUGUAGCGGUGAAAUGCGUAGAUAUCGUAAGGAAGACCAGUGGCGAAGGCGGGUCUCUGGACAGUUCCUGACGCUGAGGCACGAAGGCCAGGGGAGCAAACGGG
rnacentral:rRNA from 1 species